AACGAACGCUGGCGGCAUGCCUAACACAUGCAAGUCGAACGAGACCUUCGGGUCUAGUGGCGCACGGGUGCGUAACGCGUGGGAACCUGCCCUUAGGUUCGGAAUAACUCCCCGAAAGGGGUGCUAAUACCGGAUAAUGUCUUCGGACCAAAGAUUUAUCGCCUUUGGAUGGGCCCGCGUUGGAUUAGCUAGUUGGUAGGGUAAAAGCCUACCAAGGCGACGAUCCAUAGCUGGUCUGAGAGGAUGAUCAGCCACACUGGGACUGAGACACGGCCCAGACUCCUACGGGAGGCAGCAGUGGGGAAUAUUGGACAAUGGGCGAAAGCCUGAUCCAGCAAUGCCGCGUGAGUGAUGAAGGCCUUAGGGUUGUAAAGCUCUUUUACCCGGGAUGAUAAGGACAGUACCGGGAGAAUAAGCGCCGGCUAACUCCGU
rnacentral:rRNA from 1 species